rnacentral:lncRNA from 1 species
CAACCUUCAUUCUCUGAACAUGAGAGUUCUUCACGGGCCAGCACUCCGCCCCAUACAACAUUUCAGGUCUAAUCACAGCUCUAUAAAAUUUCCCCUUGAGUUUAUGUGGAACUUUCUUGUCACACAGGACUUCUGAUGCAAUCCUCCACUUUGACCACCCCGCUCCUAUACGAUGAGUGACGUCCUCGUCAAUCUCUCCGUCCCC